rnacentral:rRNA from 1 species
AGUGAACGCUGGCGGUAGGCCUAACACAUGCAAGUCGAACGGCAGCACAGUAAGAGCUUGCUCUUACGGGUGGCGAGUGGCGGACGGGUGAGGAAUACAUCGGAAUCUACUUUUUCGUGGGGGAUAACGUAGGGAAACUUACGCUAAUACCGCAUACGACCUACGGGUGAAAGCAGGGGAUCUUCGGACCUUGCGCGAUUGAAUGAGCCGAUGUCGGAUUAGCUAGUUGGCGGGGUAAAGGCCCACCAAGGCGACGAUCCGUAGCUGGUCUGAGAGGAUGAUCAGCCACACUGGAACUGAGACACGGUCCAGACUCCUACGGGAGGCAGCAGUGGGGAAUAUUGGACAAUGGGGGCAAGCCUGAUCCAGCCAUACCGCGUGGGUGAAGAAGGCCUUCGGGUUGUAAAGCCCUUUUGUUGGGAAAGAAAAGCAGCAGGUUAAUACCCCGCUGUUCUGAGGGUACCCAAAGAAUAAGCACCGGCUAACUUCGUG